GGGCGGUUAGCUCAGUUGGUUAGAGCGUGGUGCUAAUAACGCCAAUAAUAACGCCAAGGUCAUGGGUUCGACCCCCAUACGGGCCA